UACGGAGGGUGCGAGCGUUAAUCGGAAUUACUGGGCGUAAAGCGCGCGUAGGUGGUUUGAUAAGCGAGAUGUGAAAGCCCCGGGCUCAACCUGGGAAUGGCAUUUCGAACUGUCAGGCUAGAGUGUGGUAGAGGGGUGUGGAAUUUCCUGUGUAGCGGUGAAAUGCGUAGAUAUAGGAAGGAACACCAGUGGCGAAGGCGGCACCCUGGACCAACACUGACACUGAGGUGCGAAAGCGUGGGGAGCAAACAGG
rnacentral:rRNA from 1 species